AACGAACGCUGGCGGCAUGCCUAACACAUGCAAGUCGAACGAAGGCUUCGGCCUUAGUGGCGCACGGGUGAGUAACGCGUGGGAAACUGCCUAUUGGUGGGGAAUAACGACGGGAAACUGUCGCUAAUACCGCAUAAGCCCUUCGGGGGAAAGAUUUAUCGCCGAUAGAUGUGCCCGCGUCCGAUUAGCUAGUUGGUGAGGUAAUGGCUCACCAAGGCGACGAUCGGUAGCUGGUCUGAGAGGAUGAUCAGCCACACUGGGACUGAGACACGGCCCAGACUCCUACGGGAGGCAGCAGUGGGGAAUAUUGGACAAUGGGCGAAAGCCUGAUCCAGCAAUGCCGCGUGAGUGAUGAAGGCCCUAGGGUUGUAAAGCUCUUUCGGGUGGGACGAUGAUGGCGGUACCACCAGAAGAAGCCCCGGCUAACUUCGUGCCAGCAGCCGCCGUAA
rnacentral:rRNA from 1 species